CCUGUUUUACAAAAACAUGUCUUUUUGAGUUAUUUUUAAAGUCUGACCUGCCCACUGAAAUUAUUUAAAUGGCCGCAGUAUUUUAACUGUGCAAAGGUAGCAUAAUCAUUAGUCUUUUAAUUGAAGGCUGGUAUGAACGGUUGGACGAGGUAUAAGCUGUUUCAUGUAAAUUUAUGAUAGAAUUUUAUAUUUUAGUUAAAAAGCUAAAAUUUGAUUAAAAGACGAGAAGACCCUAUAAAUCUUUAUAUUUUGAAUUAUUUAAAUUUUUUUUUAUUUUAUUUUUAUAGUUUAAUGUAUUUUGUUGGGGUGAUAUUAAAAUUUAAUUAACUUUUAAUUGUUUAAAAUCAUUAAUUUAUGAAUUAUUGAUCCGUUAGUAGUGAUUAUAAGUUUAAGUUACUUUAGGGAUAACAGCGUAAUUUUUUUGGAGAGUUCUUAUCGAUAAAAAAGUUUGCGACCUCGAUGUUGGAUUAAGAUGUAUUUUUAGGUGUAGCUGCUUAAAU
rnacentral:rRNA from 1 species